UCCCUGGAGGACUAGUGGUUAGGCCAUGGCGCUCUCACUGCUGCAGCCCGAGUUCGAUUCUCAGCCAGGGAG